UCCCUACUUUUUCCUGCCCUGUUCCCUGCAGCCUUGCUGGCCAAUUAAUUGCUCAGCUAGGUAUGUAUGUACAGUAAGUGACAUCUAAAGCAAUGAGGACUAGUGAUCCUGAAGAGAUUACAAUGCACACCAGCAUCUUCCAGAGCAUUAAGUUGGCUUGCUUAACUGUUCUUAAAGAUGGGUGGCUGUUGCCAACCAAGGUAAAGUCUGGGAUGGCAGGGCAAAGCACACCCGAAGGCCCGCCUGUGUCUAGUGUUGAAAGAUAUCCUUCAGUUGUCUUCCCUUGCCUGAGCUGUGAGAUCCGGAGUCCAGCCGGGUGCAUUCACCCAUCGCUUUGCUCUCCCCAUCUAACACAAUUUCAUCUCCGGUAUUCAUACAAUGCAGCUGCUUCUCAGAGAGCAGGGGACCCUCAGAGGUCGCAUGCUCGGGUAAUUGCCACUUGAUUUUGUGGUCAGGUUCUAGGCUGUGUGAAGCAGCAGCACUGAAGAACUACCUGGGGGUUUGUGGGGCAAUAAGCCCUCCAGCUGAAGCUGGCUUCAAAAGCUGCCCCCAAGCACCCCCCUCAUGUGGUUUCCAUGUCCCUUGCUUAAGCUUGUCGUUUUUCAGGAGCUGGCAUUUCCCCUCACUGGCAUCUUCAGCAGAAUCAUGAGAGUGAUGGAAGGGUUUUCUCGAUUCCUACUGUCUGGAACAUCAAGGAACCUCAUUUGAUCCUCUCCAUCCUGUAGACAAAGGGUUGCCAGCAGGACAGCUGAAAACCAGAAUUCCUUUUGGCUGUGAGGAAUUGGCAGCUUUUGCAGGUGGCUGUGAAAGAUCUCCCCCACCAGUGACUCCAUUAAGGGCAACCCCCCCAGAUGGAGCUUCUGGAAGAGGAAGAACCGGAUUGAACAAUCUCCAACUGCAGAAAGGGGGCUCUCAGGCUUCUUCAGGAGUCACAAUCGUUCAUCCUCUGGUGGACAACCUUUUUGAAUGCCAUCGUGGAAAGCGUGAAAGAUGCUGAGUCCAGUGGCCAACAUACUCUGGAGUACAACAAAGAGGAGGCUGUUGAGACCAUUUUGGUGUGAGAAAUGCAGCAGAGAAUGGAAGAGAAUGACCAAGCACAGGCCCAGUUCAAACCUGACUGCCAUCUUUAUUUUAUUUUAUUUUAUUGCUUAUUUCUCUAUGUAAACUACUUGGAAACCCUUGUUGAAAAACAGUAUGUAAAUAUUUGUUGUGGUGGUUUUUGUUGUUGUCACUAUCCCAAUGAAGUCCAUGGGUACUGACCAACUCUCUUCUGCUCUUUGACCUCUUCCAGGAGAUAAUGGAGGAUGUUACGUUGCAUCUGGACCCUGGCUCCCUCUUGAGAAAAGCCAUGGACACCGUCAAGGAGCUCAGGUGUACUCAUAGUCAUAAGGGAUUAAAUAAGAGAGGGUUAUGUCAGGAAAGGGCAGUGGCAAACUAGACAAGAUCUGUAACUGGAUCUCCCCUUUUAAAAAAAUAUGGCAAUUAAUUCUAAGGGUUUUUGUCAAAUCUUGUUAAGUCCUAUAGCCUUAUCUGUAUCAGGAAUUCCCCAGACCUGGAUUUGUCAUUUUUGAAAAAGAGGAGAAACCAUCACAGACCUACCGUUUUUAUGCUUGCCUAGUUGCCCUUUCCUCUUCUCUAGAUGAGCUUCCCUUUGCUGAAUCACCAGCCCUGCACACACUACCAAAUCUUAUAUUUCCCCCAGCUCCAGCAAAAUGAAGCUGUCUCUGUCCCAACAGCUCCAGUUGGCUGUCCUGCACACUUUCUGAAAUUUCUUACAAAAAUCUGAUGGUAACUCAUCCCUACAAGAAUUUUUACAUGUUUUUAACUGCUAAGUUGAUUCAGAAAAACUACUAGAAGAAUAUAAAUGUUCAUGGUAAAUAGCAAACUGAUUGGAAAUAUCAUCUGACAAACAAAAUAUUUGAUUUCAUUCUUGCAAUAAAUCUUGAGUCCAUUUCUGUAUUUAAUCCUCUAGGUAAUUGUGAUUAAUUUGUGGGAUUGAUGUAUGAGGGCUCUUUUAUAUGUUUUGUAUGUUGUAGAACUAUAUAUUUGUAUAUAUAUUUGUAUAUCUAUUUUUGAAAAGUCAGUGAUUUAUAAAUAUAUAUAAAAACCUUCAUUAGGCUCUGUGCCUAUUCACCAUAACAUGUCAUGUGCUCACAAAAGGGGUCACACUGUCAUU